CUUCAGAGACUCUUUGUUUUAUUACAAACCAGCAAAAAGAGAGCAAUUGAAACAACUGAUGUUACGAGGAGCUUUGGAUGGGAUAGUAGUGAAGCUUGGCAGCAACAUGAUGUACAAGAACUUUGUAGAGUCAUGUUUGAUGCAUUGGAACAGAAGUGGAAGCAAACAGAGCAGGCUGAUCUUAUAAAUGAACUGUAUCAAGGGAAGCUGAAGGACUACGUGAGGUGUCUGGAAUGUGGUUAUGAGGGCUGGAGAAUCGACACAUAUCUUGACAUUCCAUUGGUCAUCCGACCUUAUGGCUCCAGCCAGGCAUUUGCUAGUGUGGUGUGUACCUUUCAGCUGACUGCUUGUGUAU